rnacentral:rRNA from 1 species
AGAGUUUGAUCCUGGCUCAGGAUGAACGCUAGCGACAGGCCUAACACAUGCAAGUCGAGGGGUAACAGGGAAGCUUGCUUCCGCUGACGACCGGCGCACGGGUGCGUAACGCGUAUGCAACCUACCCUUUACAGGGGGAUAGCCCGGAGAAAUCCGGAUUAAUACCCCAUGGUACCAUAAUACCGCAUGGUAUAUUGGUUAAAGAUUCAUCGGUAAAGGAUGGGCAUGCGUAAGAUUAGUUUGUUGGUGAGGUAACGGCUCACCAAGACUGCGAUCUUUAGGGGUUCUGAGAGGAAGGUCCCCCACACUGGUACUGAGACACGGACCAGACUCCUACGGGAGGCAGCAGUGAGGAAUAUUGGGCAAUGGGGGCAACCCUGACCCAGCCAUGUCGCGUGAAGGAUGACUGCCCUAUGGGUUGUAAACUUCUUUUAUACGGGAAUAAAUGCCCCACGAGUGGGGAGUUGCAUGUACCGUACGAAUAAGCACCGGCUAACUCCGUGCCAGCAGCCGCGGUAAUACGGAGGGUGCAAGCGUUAUCCGGAUUUAUUGGGUUUAAAGGGUGCGUAGGUGGGAUUAUAAGUCAGUGGUGAAAUUUUGCGGCUCAACCGUAAAACUGCCAUUGAAACUGUAGUCCUUGAGAGGAUUCGAGGUAUGCGGAAUGAGUAAUGUAGCGGUGAAAUGCAUAGAUAUUACUCAGAACACCGAUUGCGUAGGCAGAAUACCAGGAUUUUUCUGACACUGAGGCACGAAAGCGUGGGGAGCGAACAGGAUUAGAUACCCUGGUAGUCCACGCCGUAAACGAUGCUCACUCGCUGUCGGCAAGAAUGAUUGUCGGUGGCCAAGCGAGAGUUUUAAGUGAGCCACCUGGGGAGUACGUCGGCAACGAUGAAACUCAAAGGAAUUGACGGGGGCCCGCACAAGCGGAGGAACAUGUGGUUUAAUUCGAUGAUACGCGAGGAACCUUACCCGGGCUUAAAUGUAGGAUGCAUAAAGCAGAGAUGCUUUUCUUCGGACUUCCUACAAGGUGCUGCAUGGUUGUCGUCAGCUCGUGCCGUGAGGUGUCGGGUUAAGUCCCAUAACGAGCGCAACCCCUAUCGUUAGUUACCAUCAGGUCAUGCUGGGACUCUAGCGAGACUGCCGGUGUAAACCGCGAGGAAGGUGGGGAUGACGUCAAAUCAGCACGGCCCUUACGUCCGGGGCCACACACGUGUUACAAUGGCCGGUACAGAGGGCAGCUACCUAGCAAUAGGAUGCGAAUCUCGAAAGCCGGUCCCAGUUCGGAUCGGAGUCUGCAACCCGACUCCGUGAAGUUGGAUUCGCUAGUAAUCGGAUAUCAGCCAUGAUCCGGUGAAUACGUUCCCGGGCCUUGUACACACCGCCCGUCAAACAAUGGAAGCCGAGGGUACCUGAAGUCCGUAACCGCAAGGAGCGGCCUAGGGUAAAACUGGUAACUGGUGUUAAGUCGGAACAAGGUA